UACGAAGGGGGCUAGCGUUGUUCGGAAUUACUGGGCGUAAAGCGCACGUAGGCGGAUACUUAAGUCAGGGGUGAAAUCCCGGGGCUCAACUCCGGAACUGCCUUUGAUACCGGGUAUCUCGAGUCCGGGAGAGGUGAGCGGAAUUCCGAGUGUAGAGGUGAAAUUCGUAGAUAUUCGGAGGAACACCAGUGGCGAAGGCGGCUCACUGGUCCGGUACUGACGCUGAGGUACGAAAGCGUGGGGAGCAAACAGG
rnacentral:rRNA from 1 species